rnacentral:rRNA from 1 species
AGUGAACGCUGGCGGUAUGCCUAACACAUGCAAGUCGAACGGCAGCACAGUAAGCGCUUGCUCUUACGGUUGGCGAGUGGCGGACGGGUGAGGAAUACAUCGGCAUCUACUUUUUCUUGGGGGAUAACGUAGGGAAACUUACGCUAAUACCGCAUACGUCCUACGGGUGAAAGCAGUGGAUCUUCGGACCUUUCGCGUCUGAAUUAGCCGAUGCCGGAUUAGCUAGUUGGCGGGGUAAAGGCCCACCAAGGCGACGAUCCGUAGCUGGUCUGAGAGGAUGAUCAGCCACACUGGAACUGAGACACGGUCCAGACUCCUACGGGAGGCAGCAGUGGGGAAUAUUGGACAAUGGGCGCAAGCCUGAUCCAGCCAUACCGCGUGGGUGAAGAAGGCCUUCGGGUUGUAAAGCCCUUUUGUUGGGAAAGAAAAGCAGCAGGUUAAUACCCCGCUGUUCUGACGGUACCCAAAGAAUAAGCACCGGCUAACUUCGUG